UGUCCACCUGUCUAUGAAGGGGCACCGA
rnacentral:piRNA from 1 species